GCUCAUUGGAGUCAGGUGUUCAUGCUAAAGACAUGGGGUUGGGAGAGUACUGUAGGAUAGUAGAGUGGUGUAGAGGGAUUCUAGAGGGUCUGAAUGCCUAGUAAUCAGAUGUAGAGAAUAAUGUCAGAACCACUGCUCCAUGGAUAUUUUCUCCUUUUCCCUGUAAACCCCAGAGAUGGCUGUGCAGGAAAAUCCCAGUAGAUCAGGAAAUCCUCAGACCAGUGCUUCUGGUACCAACAAUUAUCAAGGCAACUGGAGCAAGAAGUGGGGGGAAAAAAGGCUGAGAAGCUGUGAUGUCCUGACAGAAAGGAGGAGGAUGGGCGGUGGAGCAAUUUGUCCAAAGAACAAUCAUAUGAACCAGUGUUCUUCCACUUUGCUGUGGAGAGGGAGAGAGAGUGAGUGAGAGUGAGAGCACAGGGGUUGAAGAGAGAAAAGAGUGCGACAGUGGCUAAAAAUAACAGUGUGUGUAGGCUAUGUGUGUAUAUGUGUUUGUGAUAUGUGUUUAAUCAGAGCCAAUCUAGACUGCUUCUCUUCUAACUGCACGCACACAGACAUCUAAAUCACACACACAAACACAUUUGAAUACCCUUAUUAAAAUCCCCCGCCCCUGUCCAAGGCAUGUGAGUGCUGAUCACACUGACUUUCCUGUGGUUGCUGCCCAUGCAUCUCCUCCACAGGGCAUUUCACUGCGCUCUUUGGAACUAGAAGAGACAAGCCCCCAUGUUCUGACUGGGGGCUGAGGCUUCCAGCUCAGACAGAAUUAACCAACUCUCGCUCACUUCUUUUUCACUCCACCCCCACUCACUUCUCUCCGUCAGUUUUUGGCUAAACUAAAAUGUAAUUAAUUUCUCUCAGUGUUCAAAUUAGAAAAGUCACCCUGUACC